CAGCCGUAAACUAUGCUCGCUAGGUGUCAGGCAUGGCGCGACCGUGUCUGGUGCCGCAGGGAAGCCGUGAAGCGAGCCACCUGGGAAGUACGGCCGCAAGGCUGAAACUUAAGGAUUGGCGGGGGAGCACAACAACGGGUGGAGCCUGCGGUUUAAUUGGACUCAACGCCGGACAACUCACCGGGGGACGACAGCAAUAUGUAGGCCAGGCUGAAGACCUUGCCUGAAUCGCUGAGAGGAGGUGCAUGGCGUAGACGUCU
rnacentral:rRNA from 1 species